UUUCCAGACUCCUACGGGAGGCAGCAGUGAGGAAUAUUGGUCAAUGGGCGCGAGCCUGAACCAGCCAAGUCGCGCGAGGGAAGACGGUCCUAUGGCUUGUAAACCUCUUUUGUCGGGGAGCAAAAGACGCCACGCGUGGCGUUCCGAGAGUACCCGAAGAAAAAGCAUCGGCUAACUCCGUGCCAGCAGCCGCGGUAAUACGGAGGAUGCGAGCGUUAUCCGGAUUUAUUGGGUUUAAAGGGUGCGCAGGCGGAGGUGCAAGUCAGCGGUCAAAUUGCGGGGCUCAACCCCGGCCUGCCGUCGGAACUGGGUGCCUUGAGUGGGCGAGAAGUAUGCGGAAUGCGUGGUGUAGCGGUGAAAUGCAUAGAUAUCACGCAGAACUCCGAUUGCGAAGGCAGCAUACCGGCGCCCGACUGACGCUGAGGCACGAAAGCGUGGGUAUCGAACAGGAUUAGAUACCCGUGUA
rnacentral:rRNA from 1 species